CAAGUCUGGUGCCAGCAGCCGCGGUAAUUCCAGCUCCAAUGGCAUAUACAAAAACUGUUGCGGUUAAAAAGCUCGUAGUUGGAUCUCAUACCAGGGCGGCGGGGUUAGCUGCUAAGUUUUAGCAAUAGCUGCCCCGUUCGUUCCUGUAAAGCCCUAACCCGCCUUCACCGUUACGAGGUUGCGGUGGCGCUCUUGCAUGUAAGAUCGUCGCUCCCCUGUUUUGCCUCUGUCUGGCAGCGGCGGCGGCAGCCUCCCUUCGCGGGGAGUGUUGUUGUUGUCUGUCUGUCGGCGGGUGGUGCGGCAGGACGAGGCGGCGUUUUGCGUGCGCCCCGUUUCCCAGGGGGAGGUGCGGUGGGCGACCUGCCGGCACUACGCUCUCGCAUGCCCUUCACCGGGUGUCUUGAGCCGCUGUCGCGCAAGUUUACUCUGAAUAAAUUAGAGUGCUCAAAGCAGGCCAACCACAGGCCUGUAUGGGAGUGCAUGGAAUAAUGGAAUAGGACCUUGGUUCUAUGUUCCGUUGGUCUUUCAAUGAACCCAAGGUAAUGACUAAUGGAGACAAUCGGGGGCAUUUGUAUUGCGGCGCGAGAGGUGAAAUUCUGUGACCGUCGCAAGACAAACAAAGGCGAAAGCAUUUGCCAAGGAUGUUUUCAUUAAUCAAGAACGAAAGUUAGAGGUUCGAAGGCGAUCAGAUACCGCCCUAGUUCUAACCAUAAACGAUGCCAACCAGCAAUCCGUAGGGCUAAUACCAUGGCCAGGCGGGCAGCUUUCCCCGGGAAACCAGAGUCUUUGGGUUCCGGGGGAAGUAUGGUUGCAAAACUGAAACUUAAAGGAAUUGACGGAAGGGCACCACCAGGAGUGGAGCCUGCGGCUUAAUUUGACUCAACACGGGGAACCUCACCAGGCCCAGACACUAUUGGGAUUGACAGAAUGAUAGCUCUUUCUCGAGUUUAGUGGGUGGUGGUGCAUGGCCGUUCUUAGUUGGUGGAGUGAUUUGUCUGGUUAAUUCCGAUAACGAACGAGACUCUAGCCUACUAACUAGUCGACGGAUCUACAGGUGGUGGCCGCUGCCGCGCCUCCCGCCCUGCUCUCCUCCCGCCUUCGCCUGCCUUCAUCUUCUUCCCCUCGUCCUCCCUUUAGCUCGCCAUCGUUUCGGCGCUGUGCGAGCGGGGGAUGUGGCGUGGGGGGAGGUGGUGGUGGGGUGCUUGGUGUGGGGUCCGUUGUGGCGGUGGUCGGCAUGCUACUCUAACCUUAGAUGUCCAGUCGCAAAAUACUCUUCUUAGAGGGAUAAGCAGCUAGUCUAACAGCUGCACGAGAUUGAGCAAUAACAGGUCUGUGAUGCCCUUAGAUGUUCUGGGCCGCACGCGCGCUACACUGAAGGGAUCAGCGUGUUUUCCAUUCUCCGAGAGGAGAGGGUAAUCCGUUGAAACCCCUUCGUGAUAGGGAUUGGGGUUUGCAAUUGUCCCCCAUGAACGAGGAAUUCCCAGUAAGCACAAGUAAUCAUCUUGUGCUGAUUACGUCCCUGCCCUUUGUACACACCGCCCGUCGCUACUACYGAUUGAAUGAUUUAGUGAGGACUUUGGACUGUCGACCUUGGAGCUCUGCUACCGUGGGUGUGUCUGCGACGGCUGCAAUGUGGCCGCCGCGGCCGCCUCGGCUAGUGUAUAGGGCUCCUUGACACCGACGG
rnacentral:rRNA from 1 species